AUAAACUGCAAUCUUUAAGUUUGGAUUCAGAUAUUGUUGAAUGGGUAAGGCAGUGGCUGAGUGACAGGCAACAGAGGGUUGUAGUCAAUGGAAUAUAUUCGAAGCUUGGACUUGUCACCAGUGGGGUACCUCAGGGAUCUGUACUUGGACCCAUUCUCUUUAAUAUUUUUAUUAGUGAUAUUGCAGAAGGUCUUGAUGGUAAGGUAUGUCUUUUUGCUGAUGAUACUAAGAUAUGUAACAGGGUUGAUGUUCCAGGAGGGAUAAGCCAAAUGGCAAAUGAUUUAGGUAAACUAGAAAUAUGGUCAGAAUUGUGGCAACUGACAUUUAAUGUGGAUAAGUGCAAGAUAAUGCAUCUUGGACGUAAAAACCCAAGGGCAGAGUAUAGAAUAUUUGAUAGAGUCCUAACCUGAACAUCUGAGGAAAGGGAUUUUGGGGUGAUUAUUUCUGAUGACUUAAAGGGAGAGGCAUUAGCAGUAGAAAGAGGGAAGUGCUCAUGCCAUUGUACAGAACACUGGUGAGACCUCACUUGGAGUAUUGGAGAC